rnacentral:rRNA from 1 species
GACGAACGCUGGCGGCGUGCUUAACACAUGCAAGUCGAACGAUGAAGCCCUGCUUUCGAGGGGGGCUCGUGUGGAACGGGGGAGUAAAACGUGAGUAUAAUAUCCUUUACACUGGGGGAUGACUGGGAGACUGGGUGGCAUAUACGGUAUGACCAAUCCCCGCACAGGGUGGUGGUGGGAAGGGUUCGGUGGUGGUGAUGGAUGGACUCGCGGCUUAUCAGCUUGUUGGUGGGGUAACGGCUCACCAAGGCGACGACGGGUAGCCGGCCUGAGAGGGUGACCGGCCACAGUGGGACUGAGAUACGGCCCAGACUCCUACGGGAGGCAGCAGUGGGGAAUAUUGCACAAUGGGCGGAAGCCUGAUGCAGCAACGCCGCGUGAGGGAUGACGGCCUUCGGGUUGUAAACCGCUUUCGGCUGUGAAGAAGCGUGAGUGACGGUAAUGGCUAAAGAAGCGCCGGCUAACUACGUG